CGAGGGUCUAAGAAAGCCUAGAAAUGUGUAUACAAAAAAGGGAAAAGAAUCAAAAAUAGCAUUUCAGUAGAAGAUAAGAAAUUCGAGCAUCUCCUUCUUUCUAACUAGUACUGCUCCAAACUUAAGCAGACAGGUGCUUGUGAUGAGUACUCUGUGGUGACACGUACCACCUGAGAAUGUGGUUGCUGACAGUUGCUAGGGAGAAGCUCAUGGAAACCAACAGAACCAAGGCAAGGAAUGUGGAGCUCUGAGAUGGUGAAGAGAAUGGAUGCAGGCAAAAAGCGAUGGAGGAGAGAUCUACACAUGCAGAUGAGUAUGCUUCACCAAAGAAAACAUAUUUGCCAGAAGAUACUGUGGACAGCAAACCUCUAUUGUGGAAGAACACUAUUUCUUGAGAUAAAUGCAGUGCUUUGUGCGGAACGUUGGGGUCACUAAACUUACCUAGUUUAUUCCAUCAAAUUAAAAUAUAUCUGCAGAGUAUCCCGG
rnacentral:lncRNA from 1 species